UUCAGUGAUCAUUUUGUCCCUGUCUCCUCAGAAGUAUAAACAUAUCUCAGAGGCACUGUGAGAUCCUGUCUGUGGUUCCUGUUAGAAGCUGUACGUUUUCUGCCGCUUUGGGUCUGACACUGACCUUGGCUGAGGGUCUCUUAUCAGAAAAAGAGGAUCGGAGAUCUCUGGCUCCUUGUGGUGUUUAUUAGCCCAGUGAAAGUACAUCGAGAGGUCGAGGAAUUCCCCCCCCAGGGUGGAGUCAUGAUCAGCUUAUAAGAUCUGGCGCUCGAUCCGAAAGAGAAAGAGAAAGCUGAUACGGAGAGCAGCACUCAAAGCCAAGGGAGAAGUCAAGAGAGAUCAUGGCGGUGUGCACUCAGAAACAGAUACACAUUUCCUCAUUCCAGCCCGCUGGGAGCCUGCAGGCAACACUCCCUCUGGCAGAGCAGACCAGCUGUCAAUAUGACAGCGACCUCUGGCCCAGUGUGGUUCACACCACCAUGACCCUGAACCUGGCAGAGAGGGACCAGCAGGAGCCACUAGGGGGCACUGUGACGGCAGAGGUCAUCGUCGGGAACAGUGGGAAGAGCCGGGAGCUGGAGCUGCUGCGCUCCGACACUGUGGGCCGGCUGCUGGAGAAGCUGCGGGCGGAGCUGCCGGAUCUGGGUCCCGAUGUGUCGCUGGCCCUGCGGGGGAAGCCUGUCAGACCGGAGCAGUGCCUGGGGCAGCUGGGAAACUGCAGCAAACUCAAGUUCAUCACCUUCCACCGCUGCCAAGGGGGCUAGAGAGAGAGAGACGAGGAGCGGGACGGCCCAGGAGGGAAGGAAUGAAGGAAUCCCUUUCGUCUUCAGCAAGCAGCUCACUGGCGCAUGUCAUAUCAAUCACACAGCUCUGCUUCCGCUGAUUCCGAUUGAUCUGCUGAAUUAACCACACUGAAUUGUUUCUUCUUUAUCCUUCUAUGCACUCUAGGAGGCUGUGUGUAUCAGAUCCUGCAAUAAAAACGCUUCUUCUCUGACCAGAAC
rnacentral:lncRNA from 1 species